GACGAACGCUGGCGGCGUGCUUAACACAUGCAAGUCGAACGAUGAUGCCAGCUUGCUGGUGGAUUAGUGGCGAACGGGUGAGUAACACGUGAGCAACCUGCCCCUGACUUCGGGAUAACCGCGGGAAACCGUGGCUAAUACCGGUUAUGACGCGCUUUCUCAUGGUGGUGUUUGGAAAGAUUUAUCGGUUGGGGAUGGGCUCGCGGCCUAUCAGCUUGUUGGUGGGGUGAUGGCCUACCAAGGCGACGACGGGUAGCCGGCCUGAGAGGGUGACCGGCCACACUGGGAAGGAGACACGGAGCAGACACAAACGGGAGGGAGCAGUGGGGAAAAUUGCACAAGGGGCGAAAGCCUGAUGCAGCGAAGGAGCGUGAGGGAUGACGGCCUUCGGGUUGUAAACCAAUUUCAGUAGGGAAGAAGGCGUUCGGGUUGACGGUACCUGCAGAAGAAGCGCCGGCUAACUACGUG
rnacentral:rRNA from 1 species